AAAGAGUAUAUAUUGCUUUCUCCCAUGAAAAUUGAUUUUUCAUAUUUUAAAUAAAGGAAAAAAGAAUCAGAUCAUCCUACAACUCAAAUUGGUAAGUUUUCAACCUUUCUUCUUAAGUUUCUCCCCAAAACUGAUGGCUUUGUGUGCUUAUGAUUCUAAGACUGAAGAGAUCUUUUGCCAAUACAAUGUGAAUGCUCUUUUCCAGUUGAGCCUGUUUGAUUCCACCUCGUCUUAAUCCUUUGGAAAUUCAAUCUAUGUUAGCAUUUCAUUGAUUUGUCGAGAUAUAGAUUGUAUGUUUAUUGCUUGGUUUGUUGGCUGA
rnacentral:misc_RNA from 1 species